rnacentral:rRNA from 1 species
GAUGAACGCUGGCGGCGUGCUUAACACAUGCAAGUCGAACGGAAACAGGAUGAAGCCUAGCGAUUCCUGUUUUAGUGGCGGACGGGUGAGUAACGCGUGGGUAACCUGCCUUACACUGGGGGAUAACAAUUAGAAAUAGCUGCUAAUACCGCAUAAGCGCACAGGGCCGCAUGGCCUGGUGUGAAAAACUCCGGUGGUGUAAGAUGGACCCGCGUCUGAUUAGCUAGUUGGUGAGGUAACGGCCCACCAAGGCGACGAUCAGUAGCCGGCCUGAGAGGGUGAACGGCCACAUUGGGACUGAUACACGGCCCAAACUACUACGGGAGGCAGCAGUGGGGAAUAUUGCACAAUGGGGGAAACCCUGAUGCAGCGACGCCGCGUGAGUGAAGAAGUAUUUCGGUAUGUAAAGCUCUAUCAGCAAGGAAGAAAAUGACGGUACUUGACUAAGAAGCCCCGGCUAACUACGUGCCAGCAGCCGCAGUAA